rnacentral:lncRNA from 1 species
UCAGUAUCUGUUUUUUGUUUGUUUUUUUUUUAAUUUUCUUUUCUUUUUCUCUCUAAACAGUUUGUCACAGAAAGUACUGAUGUAAAACAGGACUGACAAGUGUACGGAGCUGUCAGGAUCUGAAAGCUUGCAGGUGUCUGUCUGCCUCUUACUGCUGGGAUUGGACUCCAAAGCCUGUGGAAGGACUGACGGUCUUCAAGCAGUGUAACAGAGGUGAGCCCUGAAAGCCUCUUUCUAAGCUUUCUUCUGGUGCUCUUACUGCAUCGAGACAGGAGUAACCAGGUAAGAACAGAAACCUCAUUUGUGUUGGCUUUCAAAAAAGAUGCACUUGAUCUUGACAGCUGUCCCGUGGUA